rnacentral:rRNA from 1 species
UACGAAGGGGGCUAGCGUUGCUCGGAAUCACUGGGCGUAAAGGGUGCGUAGGCGGGUUUUUAAGUCAGAGGUGAAAUCCUGGAGCUCAACUCCAGAACUGCCUUUGAUACUGAAAGUCUUGAGUAUGGGAGAGGUGAGUGGAACUGCGAGUGUAGAGGUGAAAUUCGUAGAUAUUCGCAAGAACACCAGUGGCGAAGGCGGCUUACUGGUCCGGAACUGACGCUGAGGUGCGAAAGCGUGGGGAGCAAACAGG